AUGCGAAGGCGAGAGAAAGAGAGCGAGGAAAAUGGGAGGGGCGAGAAAGAAAUAGCGCCUGCAGGAAAGCCAUAUGUUUUUAAUGGGCGGGACUUGGACAGAUAUGAGAAAACAUAUGGCUUUCCUGCAGGCGCUAUUUCAUUCUCGCCCCUUCCAUUUUUCCUCGCUGUCUUUCUCUCGCCUUCGCAUU